UACGUAGGCAGCGAGCGUUGUUCGGAAUUACUGGGCGUAAAGAGUGUGUAGGCGGUGCUCUAAGUUCGGUGUGAAAUCUCCUGGCUUAACUGGGAGGGUGCGCCGGAAACUGGAGUGCUCGAACGUGGGAGAGGAAAGCGGAAUUCCUGGUGUAGCGGUGAAAUGCGUAGAUAUCAGGAGGAACACCUGCGGUGUAGACGGCUUUUUGGACCAUUGUUGACGCUGAGACACGAAAGCGUGGGUAGCAAACAGG
rnacentral:rRNA from 1 species